UACGUAGGGCGCAAGCGUUGUCCGGAAUUAUUGGGCGUAAAGAGCUCGUAGGCGGCUUGUUGCGUCGGUUGUGAAAGCCCGGGGCUUAACCCCGGGUCUGCAGUCGAUACGGGCAGGCUAGAGUGUGGUAGGGGAGAUCGGAAUUCCUGGUGUAGCGGUGAAAUGCGCAGAUAUCAGGAGGAACACCGGUGGCGAAGGCGGAUCUCUGGAUCUCUUCUGACGCUGAGGCACGAAAGCUAGGGGAGCAAACGGG
rnacentral:rRNA from 1 species